AAAGGUGGCUUCGGCUACCACUUACAGAUGGACCCGCGGCGCAUUAGCUAGUUGGUGAGGUAACGGCUCACCAAGGCGACGAUGCGUAGCCGACCUGAGAGGGUGAUCGGCCACACUGGGACUGAGACACGGCCCAGACUCCUACGGGAGGCAGCAGUAGGGAAUCUUCCGCAAUGGACGAAAGUCUGACGGAGCAACGCCGCGUGAGUGAUGAAGGUUUUCGGAUCGUAAAGCUCUGUUGUUAGGGAAGAA
rnacentral:rRNA from 1 species